rnacentral:rRNA from 1 species
UUAAGCAUAUCAAUAAGCGGAGGAAAAGAAACCAACAGGGAUUGCCUUAGUAACGGCGAGUGAAGCGGCAACAGCUCAAAUUUGAAAUCUGGCUCCUUGGGGGUCCGAGUUGUAAUUUGGAGAGGAUGCUUCGGGUGCGGCACCGGUUUAAGUCCCUUGGAACAGGGCGUCAUAGAGGGUGAGGAUCCCGUAUGUGACCGGCGACCAAGCCCAUGUGGAGCUCCUUCGACGAGUCGAGUUGUUUGGGAAUGCAGCUCAAAAUGGGUGGUAAAUUUCAUCUAAAGCUAAAUACCGGCCAGAGACCGAUAGUGCACAAGUAGAGUGAUCGAAAGAUGAAAAGCACUUUGGAAAGAGAGUCAAAAAGUACGUGAAAUUGUUGAAAGGGAAGCGCUUGUAACCAGACCUGCCGUCGGGUGCUCCGCGGGCAUUCUUGCCCGUCUACUCUCCCGCGAUCAGGCCAGCAUCGGUUUUGGCGGCCGGAUAAAGACUUGAGGAAUGUAGCUUCGCUUCGGGGAAGUGUUAUAGCCUCUUGUGCAAUACGGCCAGCCGGGACCGAGGACCGCGCUUCGGCUAGGAUGCUGGCGUAAUGGUUGCAAGCGACCCGUCUUGAAACACGGACCAAGGAGUCUAACAUCUAUGCGAGUGUUUGGGUGUCAAACCCAUGCGCGGAAUGAAAGUGAACGGAGGUGGGAACCCUUGAGGGCGCACCAUCGACCGAUCCGGAAGUUUACGGAUGGAUUUGAGUAUGAGCAUAGCUGUUGGGACCCGAAAGAUGGUGAACUAUGCCUGAAUAGGGUGAAGCCAGAGGAAACUCUGGUGGAGGCUCGCAGCGGUUCUGACGUGCAAAUCGAUCGUCAAAUUUGGGUAUAGGGGCGAAAGACUAAUCGAACCAUCUAGUAGCUGGUUCCUGCCGAAGUUUCGUAAGUUUUCCUCAGGACCACCCCCUGAUGAACCCUUGCUAACAAUCUUAACAGCCUCAGGAUAGCAGUAACGUUUUCAGUUUUAUGAGGUAAAGCGAAUGAUUAGAGGCCUGGGGGAUGAAACAUCCUUCACCUAUUCUCAAACUUUCAAUAUGUAAGAAGUCCUUGUUACUUAGUUGAACGUGGACAUUUGAAUGCACCGUUACUAGUGGGCCAUUUUUGGUAAGCAGAACUGGCGAUGCGGGAUGAACCGAACGUGGGGUUAAGGUGCCGGAAUGUACGCUCAUCAGACACCAAGGGGGAAGACUUGUGGUGUCUCGCUGGGGGAUGGACCCCCCCCCGGCAUCAGUCUGCGAAAGGCGAGGUCUUUGACCUGUAGGGGUCGGCGGUCGCUCCAGCGAUGGCCUACCCUCUGCUGUCCCGUGACUGGGGCGGCUCACAGAUCAAGCAAAGGCCGGCGGCCGGGUGCCGUUGGAGAUAUGAUCGGCCCCCGGAGGUUCACUCUGGGGAGCACGUGCAAAAGGUGUUGAUUCAUCUAGACAGCCGGACGGUGGCCAUGGAAGUCGGAAUCCGCUAAGGAGUGUGUAACAACUCACCGGCCGAAUGAAUCAG